rnacentral:rRNA from 1 species
UACGAAGGGGGCUAGCGUUGUUCGGAAUCACUGGGCGUAAAGGGCGCGUAGGCGGCUUUAUAAGUCGGGGGUGAAAGCCUGUGGCUCAACCACAGAAUUGCCUUCGAUACUGUAGAGCUUGAGACCGGAAGAGGUAAGUGGAACUGCGAGUGUAGAGGUGAAAUUCGUAGAUAUUCGCAAGAACACCAGUGGCGAAGGCGGCCGACUGGUCCGGUUCUGACGCUGAGGCGCGAAAGCGUGGGGAGCAAACAGG